GUCGAGGAUCUUCGGCAAUGGGCGCAAGCCUGACCGAGCGAUGCCGCGUGUGCGAUGAAGGCCUUCGGGUUGUAAAGCACUGUCGAGGGGGAUAAAGGCGAAAGCUUGAUAGAUCCCUGGAGGAAGCACGGGCUAAGUUCGUGCCAGCAGCCGCGGUAAGACGAACCGUGCGAACGUUGUUCGGAAUCACUGGGCUUAAAGGGUGCGUAGGCUGGGUCGUCAGUCUGUGGUGAAAUCCUCUGGCUCAACCAGAGAAUAGCCGUGGAUACUGCGACUCUCGAGGGGUGUAGGGGUAUGCGGAACUCAGGGUGGAGCGGUGAAAUGCGUAGAUAUCCUGAGGAACGCCGGUGGCGAAAGCGGCGUACUGGACACCUUCUGACGCUGAGGCACGAAAGCCAGGGGAGCAAACGGGAUUAGAAACCCCAGUAGUCC
rnacentral:rRNA from 1 species